CCCCAUUCCAUUCCAGCCAGCUGCCAUCCACCCCCGCCCCCGCCUCCGCCUCCGCCUCCGGCGAGAUCCCCGGCGGCCGAGAUCUCCCCGCCGCGGCGGCGCCGCCAUGGCCGCGCAGGCCCCCGAGGGCGAGGGGCCGGCCCCCGCCCGCCCAUCGCGCAUCCGCGUCAUGCGCCCGGAGGUGGAGGAGGUCCUCAAGAGCCCCCGCCGCGGCCGCGCCAAGCUGCACAAGGAGGGCGGCGGCGAGGAGGACGACGCCGGCGCGCGCCCGCGGUACGACUGCGCGUUCCAGGACGAGGAGGGGCAGCAGGGGUUCGCGCCGCCCGACGUGGUGUGGUGCAAGGUGCGGAGCCACCCCUGGUGGCCGGCCCAGGUCUUCGACGCCGCCGACGCCUCCGAGCUCGCGCUCCGGCACGCCAGGCCGGGGGUGCCCCUCGUCGCCUACUUCUGGGACCGGACUUUCGCCUGGAUGGACCCCCCCGCGCUGCGCCCCUUCCGCGCCCACUUCCCCCGCCUCGCCGCCCAGAGCACCGUCUCCAGCUACGUCGCCUCCGUCGACGCCGCCCUGCAGGAGGUCACCCGCCGCAUCGAGGCCGGCCUCUCCUGCACCUGCUCCCCGCCCGCCGUCGCCAGGAAGCAGCAGAUUCACAACUCCGGGAUCAGGGAAGGGGCCUACGGCGCCGUGGUGGACGAGGUGUACAUGAGGGACACGUUCCGUGCCAAGCCCUUCAUCGACUACAUUUCGGCGCUGGGGAGGAGCCCGCUGGCCGGCGCCGAUCGUCUCGACCUUGCCACCGCCAUGGCACAGCUCAGGUCAUUCAACCGGUUGAGGUGUCCAAUGGAGCUCCCUGAGUUUGUCAUCUACCAGGGGAUUGAGGACGUUGCUGCUGCUGUUGCUCCUGAGGCUGAGGCUGAGGCUGAUGCUGAUGUGGCAGCAACAUCGCCGCAGACAAAGAGGAAGAGGACGGAGGAGAAGGGCGGCGAUGCUCCGACCAAGGAGGAGAAGAAAUCGAGGAGGCGUGGCGAGAGCUCGUCGCCCAAGAGAGAUACUGCUGCAAAGGAACCAGAAGUGGCCAUUGAUGUUGAGAACAGCACUCCUAUGCCCAUGGACAGGAUCAUGGACACCUCCGAAGAUGCAGCGGAUAAGGGAGAAGCUCCUGCAAACAAAGAUGCUGACAUGGUUGUUGAGGACACCCCUCCUAUGCCCAGUACCAAGCAAAGGAAGUCAAAGAGAGGUAGCAAGGCUUCAGCUGAGAAAAAGAAGAAAGACACCCCCAAAGACACUGCAGAUAAGGGCGAGUCUCUGCCAGAGGCAGAGCCUGCCAAAGAAGAUGAUGUGAAUGAGGACAGCUCUAUGCCGAGUGUGGAGGCGACAGAUGAUACAUUGAGCAAGCAAAGGAAGUCGAAGAGAGUUAGCAAGAGUGCAGCAGAGAGCAAGAAGAAAGACGCCUCCAAAGACACGGCAGAUAAGGGCGAGUCUCUACCAGAGGCAGAGCCUGCAAAACAAGAUGAUGUGGAUGAGGACAGCUCUAUGCCCAGCAGCGGGGCGGCAGAUGAUAUGUCGAGCAAGGGAAGUAAGUCAAAGAGAGCUACUAGGAGUUCAGCAAAGACGAAGAAGAACGACACCUCCAAGGACACAGACAAGACAGACUUUGUAACUGAGCCUGCAAAGGAAGUGGCCGAGAACGAGGACAGCUCUAUGCCCAGUUCAGAGGCGGCAGAUGAUACAGUGAGCAAGGGAAGAAAGUCAAAGAAAAGUAAGGGUUCGGCAAAGACGAAGAAGAAAGAUGCAGAUAAGAAAGAGUCUCUACCAGAGCCUGCAAAGGAAGUUGCCGAGAAUGAGGACAGCUCUAUGCCCAGUGCAGAGGCGACAGAUGAUACAGUGAGCAAGGGAAGAAAGUCAAAGAAAAGUAAAGGUUCGGCAAAGACGAAGCAGAAAGAUGCAGAUAAGAAUGAGUCUCUACCAGAGCCUGCAAAGGAAGGUGCUGAGAAUGAGGACAGCUCUAUGCGCAGUACGAGGUCGGCAAAGAAGAAGAAGAAAGACGCAGGUAAGGAGUCUCUGCAAGAGCCUGCAAAGGAAAAGGCCACUGGUGAUGGCAGUUCAACGCCGAGUAGAGGGGCGGCAGAUGAUACACCGAGCAAGAAAAGGAAGUCCAGUAAGAAGAGUUCAGCCAGGAACAGGAUCAUAGACACGUCCAUGGAUGCGAUGGAUGGCAUUUUGAGUGAGAGAAAAUCAGGGCGUAGGCUAAGGUCCAGCCACAAGAUUGUAGAGGCUUUGGAGGUUAUGAAAUGGCCGAGGAAGAAGGAUGCUGGUGAAACCACAAAGGUAAAAGAUAAAGAUGCUACUUUGCCCAAGGAGAACGAUCUAGGGCGUAGGGCGGGCUCUGCACGCCACAAGGAUAAAACCACAAUCACAAAGGAUGGGGAUGGACUUACAGUUUCUCCUCUCAAGAAAAGGUUGCACCUUGAUGUACUCUCAGCAACAGAGAAUCCGCCCUUCGCAGUCUCAGAGCUUGGCAGGAAGAAGAAGACGCUUAUUGAACUUCUGGCAGAGACAGCUACCCCUAACCCUUCAGCAGGUGGUAAGAGCAAGGCUCGAGCUGAGCGCCCCUUGCCUUCUUCAGUCCUGAAACCUGAGGCUACACCGAACACCAGAGGGAAGCGUUCUUUGCCUGCUUCUACUGAGACACCUGAGGAUCCAGGCCGUGAUAAGGAUACAAUGAAGACCAGAGAGAAGCGUUCUGUGGCCGCAUCAACCGAGAAACCUGAGCGUGAUACGAGAAGUACAUUGAAGUCUAGAGGAAAAAGUUCUUUGCCUUCUUCCGCCGAGGAACCUGAGGACCCAGACCGUGAUAAAAAUGAUACACUGAAGACUAGAGGGAAGCGUUCUUUGCCUGCAUCAGCUGAGAAACCUCAGGAUCCUGACCGCGGCACAAAGGGUACAGCGAAGACUAGGGGUAAACGCUCUCGGCCUGAAUCAACUGAGGAUCCUGACCGUGUUACAAAGGGUACAGCGAAGACUAAGGGGACAAGUUCUCUGCCUGAAUCAACUGAGGAACCAGAGGAUCCUGAUAACCUUGUUAUGAAGGAUACAAUGUACACCAGGAAACGAAAGAAGCUCGACACAUUGGGGGAUUUGUCUUCCCAGCCACAGCCUGUUUCUCCCAAGAGUUCCACGAAAUCUCGAGAAGUGAAGCGCAAAGCUGCUGGGCAGAAGUCACAGGCAUCUCCUGUUGUCAAAGCCAAUGUUGGCAUAUCAGGCGAUAUGUCUUCCCAGCCAGAGCCUGUCUCUUCCAAAAGGUCCGCAAGGCGCAAAGCUGCUGAACCGAAGCCACAGGAAACCCCUGUUGUCAAAGCUAACGGUGAAGCUUCUCAGACGAGGUCGCGUAGGGCCAAAAACAGUGAAGUAACUGUUCCAGACAAGCCUCCACGCUCUGUUAAGCCGGAUAAGGGCAAGAAAGGCGCCGUGGCAGAAGGCUCUCCGUCUUGUGGUGAAAUGCUGUCACAGCUUUGUGUCGGAGCAAGUGAUGUUGAGAAGAUGGCGAAGAUCACCCCUACGAGCGCUGGCUUCUUGACUGAUUUCCUGAAGAGCGCUCGUGCCUGUACUUCUGAUGUGGAGGAGGCAGCCAACACAGACUGCGAUGCUUCUAGUCCCAAUGCUGACAAGGAGAUACCUGAGAAGGCAGCAGCAGACAAAGUUUCUAGUCCCAAUGCUGACGAAGAGAUACCUGAGAAAGCAGCAGCAGACAAGAUUUCUAGUCCUCAUGCUGUCGAGAAGAUACCUGAGAAGGCAACAGACAAUGUUUCUAGUCCUCAUGCUGACUUGGAGGUGCCAGAGGAGGCUGCAGACAAAGUGUCUAGUCCUCAUGCUGACGAUGAGGUGAUACCUGAGGAGGCAGCAGGCAAAGUGUCUAGUCCUCAUGCUGAUGAUGAGGUGAUACCUGAGGAGGCAGCAGAGAAAGUUUCUAGUCCCAAUGCUGAUGAGGUGAUACCCGAGAAGGCAGCAAAUGAAGUUUCCAGUGUCCCUGCUGAUGAGGCGAUGAUACCUGAGAAGGCAGCAGAGAAAGUUUCUAGUCCUAAUGCUGAUGAGGCGAUACCUGAGGAGGCAGCAGACAAAGUUUCUAGUCCCCAUGCUGAUGAGGCGAUACCUGAGAAGGCAGCAGAUGAAGUUUCACUUGCCCCUGCCGACGCGGAGACACUUUUGAAGGUAAAAGAGGAAGUUUCUAGUCCCCUUGCUGACGAGGAGACACUUGAGAAGGCAACAACAGAGAAAGUUUCUAGUGCCACUGCCGACGAGGAGACACUUGAGACGGCAGCAACAGAGAAAGUUUCUAGUGCCCCUGCCGACGAGGAGACACCUGAGACGGCAGCAACAGAGAAAAUUUCUGAUGCCCCUGCCGGUGAGGAGACACUUGAGAAGGUAAAAGAGGAAGUUUCUAGUCCGCUUGCUGAUGAGGUGAUACCUGAGAAGACGGCAGAGAAAGUUUCUAGUCCCCCCCAUGCUGAUGAGGCGAUACCUGAGAAGGCAGCAGAUGAAGUUUCUAGCCCCCCUGCCGACGUGGAGACACCUGAGAAGGCAACAGAGAAAGUUUCUUGCCCCCCUGCCGACAAGGGGAUAGCUGAGAAGCCAGCAGAGAAAGUGUCUAGUCCUCAUGCUGAAGCAGAGAUGUCUGAGAAGGCAGCAGACAAAGUGUCUAGUCCUCAUGCUGAAGCAGAGAUGUCUGGGAAGGCAGCAGACAAAGCUCCCAGUCCUCAUGCUGAAGCAGAGAUGUCUGAGAAGGCAGCAAGGAGCUCCCCUGCUCCGUCAGAGCCGCCGGUGGCGGGUGAUCAUAUGAAGGACGAUUACUGGGCUGACAUUCUCAUAAACGUGGAAGAACCGCUGUCUAGUCAGGCAAAGAAGAAGGACAAGGGCAAGAUGAGAUCAAGCAAGAAGCAGCGGCGUGACGACGAGAUGAAGCAAGAUGAGAUGCCCGCGGAGGAAGCAAAGGCCGAAAGCCAGCAAGACAAGGCAGAGGCAGAGAACGGGAAGGCGAACGGGGCGGAGGAGGACGCGUCGCUGACGGGGCUGGUGCUGCACUUCAGCAAGCCGGGCGUGGUGCCCUCGCGCGGCGACCUCAUCGACAUCUUCAGCCAGUACGGGCCCGUGAGCGAGGCGAGGACGGAGACGGACGAGCACUCGAGCUCAGCCCAGGUGGUGUUCAGGCGGCGCGCGGACGCGGAGGCGGCGUUCGGCGGUGCGGGCAAGAUCGCCGCCCUCAGGCCUGGCCUCGACAGCUUCCGCCUCACCGACUUCCCGUGCGCCGCCGCCGCCGCUGCGUUCCGGGGUGACGACGGGCCGAAGCAGGAGUGAACAGGGCUGCUGGAGGUGGAGGAGAGAGGUGAAUGAGGAGUGGAGGUGUUUGUUAUGUAGGUGGUGGUAGCUUUCUGUUGGUGUUAAAAGGAGGAGUAAGAGGAGUAAGAAAGCAAGCAUUGUGGCUUGCUGGUGUCUUUUUGGAGGCGGUGGCAUGGCAUGGCAUGGCAUGCUCCCUGGAUGCUGAUGCUGAUGCUGAUGCUGAUGCUGAGAGGUGUUUGUUAUUUAGUAAGAUGUAAAAAGAGUUAUGGCAUGCAUGGUUGCAUCUGAGGACUGGAUGCAUGUUGGUGUGAAAACCUGAUGACUUUGUUGGUACCUGAAAGUCUGUCUGUGCUGUGUGGUUGAAAUUCUGUGGUCAGUAGUUAAUCUCUAGUUGUUAUUGUUGUGGUGGUUAUGUUUGUAGCAGCAGAGGAGAGGAGCAUUGAUGCAUCUAUGUGCUUUUAUAUGAUGAUGGUGGGUAGCAUCUUAUUUGGCAUGACUAGUAGAGUAAUUUAACUGGUAGUAACUGAGAGUGUGAUACCCACCAGGC
rnacentral:rRNA from 1 species